CAAAUCAUGAAAAUUCGAAUUAGAACAACUUACCCAAUCAAUGGGGGCCAAAGUCUUAAAUAAGAACUAACAGCCAUAAUUUAGCAAAACAGCCUGUUCAACAACAAACAUCCAUUUCACAGUGCCGAAGUUCCUCAAAAGCUUAUUUAAAAAACACGCAAGUCUAAUAAAAAGUUUGGGAAUAUAAAGAGAAAAAUACGAAAA